CUCCUAACUCAACCCUCCCCUUGUUUUAGUUUUCCAGGAAGACUUAAUCAGUCUCUCCCUUGUAUCUUGUUUGUAUGUCUAUUCAAAUUGCUUUGACAAAUGUUUGCUGAAUUUAUUUCUCCCCUUAACAAUUUUCUCUUCUCAAUAAUGAACUUGUUGAACGAUGAUGUCUGUAACAGAACAUGCUUAAUAAAGGCUUACCAAAUUGAAGGGGACUUCAUGCACCUGCUCUCGCCUGAGCACAUUGCUUGCAACCAAACUCACUGGCCCAUGGACCUCAAGCAUUCCCUUUUCUCUAGAAACGAGAACACUUAGGGAUCCACAGAAAACACAGAAGGUGGUUGUUCAUCUUCUGAAAGCCCUACCCUAGCUGCACUUCUUUCAAGACCACUUCUUUGAAGAAGUAUUGAGUCAGGAAACGCACAGUACAGAACAAAGGACAAAAGCAAACGACCGACCAAUCACAACAAAUACCCGUUCAUAUAGUUCCCCCAAUUUAACCGAACUCUGAAAAUCUGCCAUAAAACUCAUCAGUGGAAUGAUUACUUCAGAAUAUUUCUAUGUUCAUUUAUAAAAGAAGUAAUCAUACACGUUGUCUGGGUCAUCUACCAGCUUUGACGAUCAGCUACUUCAAUGAAAAGACUUCUCUGUGCCUCAUAAUAAUAUUUUUACAUCUAGAGAAUAGGAACAUCAAAAGAAUUCAGUUUUCCAAGGCUUUCUCCACCACUCUUAUGUCAUGGAAGCCCAGUAGAGGCUUCCAAUCCCAUUCUGAAGAUAAGAAAGCUUAUGAAAAGUGAAGGCAUUUUUGCCCAGAGUCACUCAUUUUAAUUAGGAACAGAGGUCAGGAACACAAAUAUGCUACUGGAUUAUUCCACUGGACUCAUAGUUAUAUUAAUUCAGUAGUUAAUUCCAAUAUCCCUAUGCUAGCUAGUAAACAGAAAGUAAUGAUGCACUGUUAAUCCUGACAUAUAAAGGAAUAAAAUGCUAUAUGGGAAUCUU